AACGAACGCUGGCGGCAUGCCUAACACAUGCAAGUCGAACGAGACCUUCGGGUCUAGUGGCGCACGGGUGCGUAACGCGUGGGAACCUGCCUUUAGGUUCGGAAUAACUCAGAGAAAUUUGAGCUAAUACCGGAUGAUGUCUUCGGACCAAAGAUUUAUCGCCUUUAGAUGGGCCCGCGUUGGAUUAGCUAGUUGGUGGGGUAAAGGCCUACCAAGGCGACGAUCCAUAGCUGGUCUGAGAGGAUGAUCAGCCACACUGGGACUGAGACACGGCCCAGACUCCUACGGGAGGCAGCAGUGGGGAAUAUUGGACAAUGGGCGAAAGCAUGAUCCAGCAAUGCCGCGUGAGUGAUGAAGGCCUUAGGGUUGUAAAGCUCUUUUAACCGAGAUGAUAAUGACAGUAUCGGGAGAAUAAGCUCCGGCUAACUCCGUG
rnacentral:rRNA from 1 species